CCAGACCUACGGGAGGCAGCAGGGAAUAUUGCACAAUGGGGGAAACCCUGAUGCAGCAACGCCGCGUGAGUGAAGAAGGUUUUCGGAUUGUAAAGCUCUGUUAGCAGGGAAGAGGAAGGACGGUACCUGCAGAGGAAGCCACGGCUAACUACGUGCCAGCAGCCGCGGUAAUACGUAGGUGGCAAGCGUUGUUCGGAAUAACUGGGCGUAAAGGAUGCGUAGGCGGUUAAACAAGUUAUAUGUUAAAUAUAUAGGCUUAACUUGUAGAAAGCAUAUAAAACUGUUUAACUAGAGUGCAGGGGAGG
rnacentral:rRNA from 1 species